AGAAAGGCGGAAGGAAUGCGGACCUUUCUGAAGUGACGGCCGCUCCAGCCUAUCAGAGGCGGGAUCAGGAAGGCGGGGCGGAAGACUGGAAGAAUGAAACGGAUUGACGGAGCGGAUAGCCAAUGAGAGGUUAGACUCAGACAGUACCGGACGACUAGAGGACCUGUCCGGGAAGGGAAAUGGGGCUACAUCCAGAAGGAAAAUUCCUUCUCAAGUAAUACGCGGACAAGCGCCAUACCCCGGGAUUUGGCCGGAGAGGCGCGCCUCCUGGUGGCGAAUCAGAGAGCGGCUCGUGCGCGUCCCUUGCCGCUGUCCCGGGAUCCAUGGAGGGAAGGGAAGGGAAGGGCUUCUGGCUGCCGAGGGUUCCCUGUGCGCGACUGCUGAGGCCAGAGGGGCACUGGAGGUGGCCUUGAGGUCCCAUGCUAUAGGCUGAGCGAUUCAAAGGAGGAGCCAAAGAUGAGUAGCAACUUUCCUCCUCUUCCCCCCACGUCCUCCUCCUUUUAAGCCAUCACAUUUAUUUGACAGCAAUUCAGUCAUUUGUCAAUGAAUUGAGGACCGAUUGUGUGCCAGGCCCCGUUCAAAGCACUGGACAAAGGCCCUUGCCCUAAUGGAGGUCGCAUAGUGACUGUGUGAGAGAAAUCCAGUAAACAAAUAAAGAAAAUACAUAACAUGUUCCAUGGUGAUCAGUACUAAGCAGAAAAAUAAAUCCAAGAAGGGGAGACAGGAGAUAGGAGGAGUGCUGGCAGUUUUUAAAUAGAGUGGUCAGGAACCGUCUCAUUGAGAAGAGGAUGUAUGAGUAGUGAUAUGAAGGAGGUGAAGAGGUAAGUCUGGUAGGUAUCUGGAAAAAGAACAUUCUCGGAAAAGGGAAUAGUCAGUGCAAAGGCCCUGAGGUUCCUGAGGCAGGACUAUUCCUGAUGUGUUUGAGGAAGAAGGCCGGUGUGGGGGCAGGGAAGAGAGAGAAAGGGAAAAAGAAAAGAGAAUAGUACCCAAGUGUGUUAAUAGGUUAGCAUUUGGGGGAUUUGGGUUAGGAAGAUACACACACACAAAUAUAGGUGUAUAUAUAUAUACACAUUUUUUUUCUGAAUCUUUUGAGAAUCAGUCAUAGACCUGAAUCCUUUUUAUUUCUAAAUACUUAGAUUUAUGUUUCAAAAAAAAAAAAGAUGUUCUCUUACGGAGAGACAUCUCUACUUUCUUAACUCAGAGGCUGAAUAGCCCUUUGCUGCAGAGGUCUAGCCUGUAUACUGUAGGAUUUUUAGCAUCCCUGACCUCCAACCACUAAGUGUCAGUAGCACACACACCCUUGGUUGUGAUCACCAAAAAUGUCUUCAGCCGUUACUUAAGGUCCCCUGGAUGACAGAAUUGUGCCCCUCCCCACCCCACUCCCACCCCAAACUGAGAACCAUUGGUUAUAUUACUCCAAGACAAUGAUCACAAACAGGAAGUUUAAUAUUGAUAUAAUAUUGCUACCUGAACUACAGACUUUCAAAUGUUAUCAGUGGUCCAAUAAUGUCUUUCUUAGAAAUUACUAUUAUUAUUUUAAUUUUAUUUUUAGGGGGAUGGUAAUUAGGCUUAUUUAUUUAUUUGUUUGUUUACUUAUAAUGGAGGUACUGGGGAUUGAACCCAGGACCUCGUGCAUGUUAAGCAGGCACUCUACCCUGCCCCUUCUUAGGAAUUUUUAUUUUCUGGUCUCUGGCCCAAUCCAGGAUCAUGCAUUGCAGACAGGUGUCAUGCCUGGAAUGUCCUUUCUCUUUCCUUGUCUUUUAUGUAAUUGACAUUUUUGAAGGUCAUAGGCCAAUCAUUUUGUAGAAUGUCCUUGUCUGGGAUAUUGCAUUUGUCUGGUUUUCCUCUUGAUUAGAUUCAGAUUCAGCAUCUUAAGAAGACAUUCCACGGAAGGGAUGAUGUGUCCUUCUCCAUGCAUUAUAUCAGGAGACACACAAUGUCCAUUUGCCCCAUUGCUGGUCAUUUAAAUAUGAUCACUUGAUAAAGGCAUUAUUUGUUUCUCCUCUGGGAAGUUACAUUUUUUUUCCUUUGUAAUAAAUAUGUAUUUUAUGGACAGAUACAUCGAAGCUACACAAAUACCCUGUUUCUCAUGAAACUUUAACUUAGCACUUUCAGCAUCCAUUGAUGAUGCUUCCUUGAAUCAAUUGUCCUGUUUGGUUGCUUUUAAUAAUUGUUUUAGAUUAAAAACUGAAUAAGCUCAAAAGUCUGCUUUUCAUGUACGUGUGAGGUGUAAAGAAUAACAAUGAAACAUACAUUCAUGUAACUUUCAACCAGGCUAAGAAAGAGAUAACAUCAGGACAGGUGAAAACCCAGUUCCUGCCUGGGGAUGGAUAUAAAUUGUUCAAAGCUGGGGAUGGUGGGGUCUUUGAAUAACUAGGUGGGGAGACAGGGAUGAAUUCCAGAACUACUCAAGUGGUGAAACUCAUGGGAUAUGGAACAGCUGGGUUUUGAGCCGGGAGAGGACAGUGGAAGGUGGAGGGUGAGGGUGAGGACUGGACAGAGAGAGGCUGCCCUUGGGGCUGAUGAGCCCUCAGAUCUGGGGGUGUAGGUGGUGAGGGGCGGGCACAGCCUCUCCAAGGCAGCUGGGCAUUCCAGACUGGGGCAGGGGCUGCUCUGGAGUUUCCAGGAGGCCCUCAAAAUGGCAAAGAGGCUGAAAGUGGCUUCCAAGAGGUUCAUGUGCAUCCUGGAGAGGCAGGAAGCCUCCCUCUCUUCUCCUCGGGCUCAAGUGUCAGCCUGGGACGGGGUGGGACAGAGAAGGGUCACAUGUCCUACCAUAAAUGUUGUUUGGAAUCCAGAAGAAAAAAUCCUGAAGAGGUCUAAGAUAAUUGCCUCUUUCCCUCACCCACCCAAUCAAAGUGCCUUCUCCCUGUUACACACCUCCAUGCUGGCUGGUGAGGCUGGGACGCU